rnacentral:rRNA from 1 species
GACGAAGGGGGCUAGCGUUGUUCGGAAUUACUGGGCGUAAAGCGUGUGUAGGUGGUUGUCAUAGUCAGGUGUGAAAGCCUUGAGCUCAACUCAAGAAAUGCACUUGAUACUGGGCAGCUAGAGGACCGGAGAGGAUAGUGGAAUUCCCAGUGUAGUGGUGAAAUACGUAGAGAUUGGGAAGAACACCAGUGGCGAAGGCGGCUAUCUGGACGGUUUCUGACACUAAGACACGAAAGUGUGGGGAGCAAACAGG